AAUGUGUCGAAAUCCUCACAACGCUGACGUUUUAACAUGAUUGCGAUAAAAAGAAUUGCAACUUCGAUAUUGACUCAAACUCUAUAUUAAAAGUAACAAACCAUCAGUUUAUUUUUGCAAGUGUUACAGAGACUUCCAGAGUAAUUUGUAUGAAAUUUGGCUUCUAAACGCUAUUGCCAAUUCAAUAGUUCGAGUUAUGGAGAAUUUCGAGUUAAAGAAGUUGAAGUUAUGGAAGAUGAACUGUAUUUAUAUACAAACUUUCAAUCAAAUUACAGAGACUUCCAGAGUAAUUUGUAUGAAAUUUGGCUUCUAAACGCUAUUGCCAAUUCAAUAGUUCGAGUUAUGGAGAAUUUCGAGUUAAAGAAGUUGAAGUUAUGGAAGAUGAACUGUAUUUAUAUACAAACAAUCAUAUAUACAAACAAUUCAAUCAAAGUAUAUUCAACAAAGUGAACGAAGUAUAUGACAUUUAAUUUUUUUUACCCGAAUUUGACAUGUUUGUUGCCAUUGAUUUAACCCUUACAUUUAUUCAAAAAUUCAAAUUUUGAAAUUCAAAAGUAAACAAAUUUCAAAAAAAAAAAAUAUUUUUUAAAUGAAUAAAAGAAAAUGCCGAAUACUUUCUGCUUAUGCAAAACAACUCAUGCAAGCAAUUUACUAAUGUUUUGUGCUCCAACUGACAAAUUGCAAACAAUUUUAUCAAUAUAUAUUAUAUUGUUCAAGAUAAAAAAGACGGGUUAAUGUAAACAAAUACAUGAAUUGUUUCCUAUUUUAUUGUCAAAAACGAGUAUGUCAAAUACAUAGUUCACUUUGUUGAAUACACUUUGCUUUCAAUAUGUCAAAACUGGAUUCCAAAAUAAAAAUAUUGUACCCAUUACUCCGCAUUUUUAUACGAAAUAUGCAAAGCUCCAUAAAAGUGUAACAUCCAAAUAUUUUUUAAUUACUCUUCUUAGAAUAUAAUCUUAAUAUUU